CCAGUCUGUCUGUACAUUCUGGGUUGCCCAUACCAGGUGCAGAAUCUGGCGCUUUCCCUUAUUGAACUUCAUGUUGUUGCUGGUUGCCCAGUCAUCUGAUUUGUCAAGGUCCCUCUGCAGGGCCUCCCUGCUCUGUAGGGAGUCAAAACUCCUCCCUGUUUAGUAUAAUCUGUGACCUUGGUUAGUGUCCCUUCCAGUCCUGCCUUCAAGACGUUAUUGAAGACAUUGAGUAGCACAGGAUCAGGAUGAAGCCCUGUGGAAGCCUCCAGUGACAGCUGAAUGCAGGAUAUUUUAUCCAGAAGGGUACUGGAGACAAUAUUGAAAGCUUUACAGAAAUCUAAAAAAGAUUACAUCAACUGUCCUCUCUUCUUCAACUAGGGUCUCCUGCAACAUUCUUUGUAGUUCCUGUUAUGAGAAGAGGCAAAACCAAAAAAUAUCAGAGGACUUUUUUUCUCAGUGUCCUUGCUGAUGUGUGCAGUAAGGCUGAACAGGUGGGAAGACAUGGUGUCUCAGCUCGCCUUGGGAAAUGAGAUACAGCUGUGCCCAAGUUUUAUGAGUUUCUGAGUUAUGUAAGCAAUUUGUCAUGACACACAUAACUUCAUGGUUUGCUUUUUGUUUGACCCUGCUGAAGCUGAAAUAAAAUUACUGGGGACCUGGAUGAUUUUGGCUGCUGUUGUCAGGAAGAAGAGUGACUCAAGAAAAAGUGGCAUCUAUCAGCAGGAGCAUAUCAUAACCAAAUGCCAGGCAAAGACGGGAAGUAAUCCAUGCUCAAAAGCAUGUUCAGAUCCCAGUCUUCCCCCAGCACUCUCCUGUUUUGUCCAAGACUUCUUCCUAUGAUAUGAGAGGAGGCAAAGCAGAGAGGAGAUGAGGAUGAUGUUAAAUCCUAAUAUGAUGGAUGUAUUUCUAGUGUCUUGCA